AUCUUGGAAUGACGUAUUUCUAUGAAGCUUCCAAGAUCCAUCUGGCCACUCAUUUAGCUGCACCUGUGUGGCCACUGGCACACUCAGGCAGGUCUGGCUGGUUCAAGGAACCUCCUGAAGCCCUCACUUAAACUUCUUUCUCCUUCUUCUUUUUUAAUGGCUCCUUUCUUCUUUCUAGGUAAAAGUGUGAAUGUUUCUUGUGGAAGAAAAGUGUAAGAGACUGACUGGAUACCCGAUGAUGCCUUUCUGAACCCAAAGUAGGAACCCCUGUGUGUUGACACAUAAUCCGGUGAGGGAGUGGAAAGAGCUGACACGGGUCAUGUUCAGCAAAGCCUGGUCACAAAACCCUGCCCCUCCAGAGGAGGAGCAGGUAGAGUCGGAAAGAAGGGCCCCACUGCUCCACCCCCCUGCUGCUGGCUCUCACCAUGACCCUGACACGGGUUAAGAAGGAGGGGGGCUGAAGGGGCGGGAGCAACAGAGCAGAUAUUGCCCCUUCCUACCUCCUGUAUAAUAUGAAAAGGCCCUCUGGGAGCUGCAUACCUGAGGUUCUCAGCAAUUGCCUUAAUUAGAGUUGGUACUUUGGCAAGGGCUCAUGGCUAGAAGUCACUGAAACUGGAGACCAGACACAGGAGAGGGAGGGCAGGAGAGAGUGGGAGUGGCAAAAGGAAGGAAAGGAGGCUGAUAAGGGAAGUGAGGAAGGCACCAGGGUUACCCUUUGCCCUGGGCUGGCAGCGCCAGAGGCUGCUCAUUCCUCCGGUCUUAUCUUGCCCUUACAUUCUGUUCCAGAAGUCAGCUCCCUUUCCUUUCCAGGGGAAAUUCAGCAGAGGAGUAGGUGCACUCACUGCUGGUCUCCCCAGAGAACGGUCUGUAGCAGCGAGGACUCUGCAGCUGAGCAUAUAGAAAAAGAAACACAGUCAUUCAAAGCAGCCAGACCUGAGUUUGAACUCGGCUUAGCUGCUGUCUACGAAAUCUCGACUAAGUUCCAUCCCCUCCCUGCCUGUUCAGGAAUAAGUAUCUCGACCACAGAAGGCUGAUUGGCCCCAGGGCACCUAUCCUGCUCCUCCUCUAACUCAAGGCCACCCUGAAGGCCCGUCACCGCUUGGGACUCCCUGGGGGUGUCCCUUUGGUCUUGCUUCCUUCCCUCCAGGGUAGAUCCCAAGUAAUCAACUUCCCGCUCAUUAGUCUCAGUCUUAAGACUGACUCUUCCCCAGAGAAUCCAAAACCUCGACAGAUACCUACUUUGUGGAUUAUUAAAUAUUUUUGAUAACUUGGACCGAGGCUCUCUUUACUGGAGAGAGCAAACCCAAGUGGUGUCUUUCACUUUGACCUACGGAAUCUCCACAACUAGAUCGGGCGUCGCUACAACCUGAGCGCAUCUACGGCGGUGCUGGAUCCCGCUCGGCGUCCGCAGGGUGGGGGGCCCAGCGGACUCCUCGGCGCGGGGUGGGG
rnacentral:lncRNA from 12 species